rnacentral:rRNA from 1 species
UACGUAGGGGGCAAGCGUUGUCCGGAUUUACUGGGCGUAAAGAGCGUGUAGGCGGCCAGGCAGGUCUGUUGUGAAAACUGGGAGGCUCAACUUCCAGACGUCGACAGAAACCGCUUGGCUAGAGUCCGGAAGAGGAGAGUGGAAUUCCUGGUGUAGCGGUGAAAUGCGCAGAUAUCAGGAAGAACACCGAUGGCGAAGGCAGCUCUCUGGGACGGUACUGACGCUGAGACGCGAAAGCGUGGGGAGCGAACAGG